UCUGCAUCUCAGUUUUCAAAAACAGUUGGGUGAGAGUCAUGUCUGGUUUUGUCCAUGUUUUGUUAAAGGGAAGGUGUGCUUGACAGGGAUGGGAGUAUUCUUUAAAAGAGUACAUUUGAAUCCCAGAUUGGAAUACAGUCAGAGGCUUUUGCUGUUUAUUUGGUUGUUUGUUUGGUUCAUUUUGUGGGUUUUUGUUUUUGUUUUUGUUUGUGACGGAAACUCUUGUAGCUCAGGCUGGCCUCAAACUCACUAUUUAGCCACCGCUGACUUUGAACUUUUGAUUCACCUGUUUUUACACAUCAAGUACAGAGCUUUGAAGUAAUAUGCCAUUACUGCUCAGAGUUGUGACACAGAGACUCCUGUUUGCUAAAGAAGCUUCCUUUGAAAUUCUUCCCAGUGGAAGUGCAGGAACAGAAAAGAAAGAACAAAGCAGAAACUGAAAAUCAACUUUGCAAAGAUGUCAGAAUGUGACGGUGGAGGAGUAGGCCAUGAGGGGAAAUUCUAGAGUGACCAUGAAAUUCCCACAAAAUCUAUGUCAGGUCUUCACAAGCUGCUGUCUUCAAGGUCUCUGGGCUACUCAGUCUCUGGAUCUUGGUCACCUAAGCAGACAUGGGUUCCAUUUCAUGGAACCAGAAUGGUAGCCAGAUUUCUGCUCCUGGAACCCAAUAGCUGAGCAAACAACUUCAGAUGAUGGCUUAACUGUGGCUCUGCUCAUGGUGUCAGAGACUGAAGUCUAUACGUAGCUUCUGCCCAGCUCAAGAUUUAGUCUGAAGGACAUGGCACAGUGAACAGCAUCUUCACACUAGACCCUUCCAUUAAUGCUGUCAAAUUAUUUCUCCAUGAGCAGACCAACGAGUGGAUCAGAUGUGCUACAGAGUAUGCAUUCUAUGAGCAGCUACUGACUGAAUAAAUAGAUGAGAAGCACUGAUCAUUCCAAGAUGGACUCCACUUUAAGAAGCAAGCUCAUUAAUCUUUUCUGUUCACUGGUGUCUUCCUUAUUUACAUAAUCUUUCUUGCAAGAAAAAAUAAAGUCUUUCCAAUUCCCACGGUAAUAUAGUUUGGUGUGGGUAACAGAAGCAAGAUGCUGGCCUGGCCAGGUUUAGAAUCCCCUAUGUAAUCCAUGUGUUACAAAAUAAUAUGAAAUUAUGAUUUAACCUGAAAGCAAGUCACAUAAUUUCAUGUAUAAUAAGUUAAAUUUCUUUGCUUAAAUAAGUCCACCUCUUAAUAAUACCCAGUUGUAAGUAAAAAAAAAAAAUCUGAAAACAUCUUCCUUUUAUUUUGCAAUUUAUAUUUUGAUAAUUUAAAAUUCAGCAAUUGUGUCCUAACUAACAUAGCUAUUCCAUGCCAAUCCAGACACUGAUGAUUGUCAUUCACAACUAAUUCAGAUAAUAUUUUCCUUGUUAUAGAUACAGCAUUUGUCUAUAACUCCUAGAGAAAGUGGCAGACAGACCAUGAUAGGCAGCAUACACCUAAAAUUCUAGAAAAUACUACUCAAAAAUUCUAAGCAGACUGAGGCUUACUUUUCCUUUCCUUGAAAUGAUCGAUUUGUCAUGUGAACGUAAAGCAAUUUAAUGAAGUUUUCAACACAAUUAAGAGAAUUGGGGUGACUUGCUUACUAGCAUAAACAUGGUUACUUUAACCCCAAUCUCUACUUCACUAAGAAUUUGAUUGUACUAAUAACAGUGGCAAUAAAUGAAGAAACGGUAGUUUUCUUUGUGAGAUAUCUUAGUUGAACGCUUUGGAUACUAUCGGCAAGCAGACAUACUAUAUUUGGGAGUAGCUCUAGCAUUUUCUUCUAUCUUAGUCAUAUUUCUCACCCCAGUACGUUAAGGACCAUGUAUAUCCCAGUGACUUGAAUAUUUUAUUUGUACCAGAGCGUUCUGCAUUAAAACAUAACUUAUAAUUUCUCCAAGUGAUCUACUGUUGGAAUAUUAAAA